GCUGGGUUCGGGCGGCUAUGCGCCGCGGCAGCGCUUCAACCGCAGCAAUUAUGUGCUCGCGCAUAGCUGGCGGCUCGGCUUCGGCCAGCUCGACAC
rnacentral:tRNA from 1 species